UACAGAGGCCCCAAGCGUUACUGAGAAUCACUGGGUUUAAAGGGUGCGUAGGUGGCGCGUUAAGUCCGUUGUGAAAUCCCUUGGCUCAACCAAGGAACUGCUUCGGAUACUGGCGUGCUUGAGGCUAGUAGAGGUCACUGGAACUGACGGUGGAGCGGUGAAAUGCGUAGAUAUCGGGAGGAAGACCAGUGGCGAAGGCGAAUCUCUGGACAGUUACUGACACUGAGGCACGAAGGCCAGGGGAGCAAACGGG
rnacentral:rRNA from 1 species